UACCAGCACCCCGAGUGGUCGGGACGUUAUUGGGCCUAAAGCAUCCGUAGCCGGUCAUGCAAGUCUUCCGUUAAAUCCAAGCCGCUCAACGGUUGGGCUGCGGAGGAUACUACGUGGCUAGGAGGCGGGAGAGGCAAGCGGUACUCAGUGGGUAGGGGUAAAAUCCUUUGAUCCAUUGAAGACCACCAGUGGCGAAGGCGGCUUGCCAGAACGCGCUCGACGGUGAGGGAAUGAAAGCUGGGGGAGCAACCG
rnacentral:rRNA from 1 species